AUUGAAUGCUGGCGGCAUGCUUUACACAUGCAAGUCGAACGGCAGCACGGGUGCUUGCACCUGGUGGCGAGUGGCGAACGGGUGAGUAAUGCAUCGGAACGUGCCCAUGAGUGGGGGAUAGCCCGGCGAAAGCCGGAUUAAUACCGCAUACGCCCUUAGGGGGAAAGCGGGGGAUCUUCGGACCUCGCGCUAUUGGAGCGGCCGAUGUCGGAUUAGCUAGUAGGUGAGGUAAAGGCUCACCUAGGCGACGAUCCGUAGCUGGUCUGAGAGGAUGAUCAGCCACACUGGGACUGAGACACGGCCCAGACUCCUACGGGAGGCAGCAGUGGGGAAUUUUGGACAAUGGGCGCAAGCCUGAUCCAGCCAUGCCGCGUGAGUGAAGAAGGCC
rnacentral:rRNA from 1 species